GGGCUCACUCCAGCAGCAUAUAUACUAAAAUUGGAAUGAUACAGAGAAGAUUAGCAUGCCCUCCGCGCAAGGAUAACAUGCAAAUUCGAGAAGCGUUCCAUAUUUUU
rnacentral:snRNA from 1 species